CUGGCGUUCUCUUCAGAGACUUCCUGUCUUCUGUUUGCUGUUCUGUUCAUCAAAUGUGGAAAGUAGUUCUUCAAGCUGGCAGAUACAAUUACCUUUUAAAUCCUUUUUCAUUCAUUUGGUGCUCUCACCAAAUCAAUAUACAGUAUUAAUCACACACUAGCUAAAGCUUUUACUUCAGAACAGUAGUAACUACUACUAAAUGAGAGAGUUAGUUCUGUUGAGAGUGCCUGAUACUAAUUUGGCUGGGUAUCAGUUUCACCCACUGCAGUUUCAAGCUGAGAAUAAAAGCCUCUUUCACUCAGAUGGUCUUAUUUAUUGGCCUCUUAAAAGUUUCCAUGGGCAUGUGCUCAGGACCUUUCAACAGAACUGUUAUUUUUCUCCCGUUUUACUCUUGCUCACAUUCAUUUAGACAGGAGGAAAGUCUGUGUCAUUUUAGUCAGGCCUGUAUAAUUGCUUUGCUUUGAAUCCUCAUUUCCAGAUUGAAGUGAACAGAAGUGACUUUAGGAUCAUGUCAUAGUUAGUUGAGACGCCCUUUACAUCAGUGAAUUCCCUUUGGAUGGAUGAAGUGAGCUGUCUGGGCUAGAGUCUCAGACUUGAGAGAGCCACGGUAUUUACAAAUGUUAAACAUAUUUAAAAGAAGAGUUGAAAAACUGAUCUACUCCACGAAAGCAGAUGAAAAAUAAUGAGAAUUUACUCAAUGUGAUAAGCAUUUCUUGCGGGGUGCCCAUGCUUAUUCAGGCAGCUUGCUUUAAAGUCCAUGGUCGUUUUUCAUCCUGUGGGGAUUGGAAAUGGAUAACUUGCGUUCCAAAACCAAAAUCAGAGCAGAAAGUUGGGUGUUAUUUCCUGCAUCGAAACAGUACUGGCUAUUAGGUUGGCUCUCCUGUUUCCUUGAAGGGCUCACAAUCUCAGCAUGUGGCAGAUGUUUGUGAUGCUCUGCCCUGAACAGCCUAGCAAGACAGGGCGCUGCGUGUAAGUACAGACGGGUGGGAUGCCAAAAUGAUUAAGAAGGAUACAAUUGCCACCCAUCUUUGCCAUGACUAAUCCCUUACAGGGGAAAUAGUGCCUAAUAAACAUGUAUUUUUCCUCCAGACAGUUACAGUUCAUUAAGAAUAGACUUGACAAAAUAAUGGGCAGCCUAUGGCAACCUAGAAGCAAAAUCUAGGUAUCCAGGAAAGCUUCUGCAGAAACACAGAUCGAAUUUUUUAAAAAUCUAGGAAAGAAGAGUUUCACAUUUAGGUACAAAAACUUCAGAAAGCCCAGUGUGUCAGUGAGCGAAAGAGAACUGGGAUAGCUCAUGACACGUUCCCGUUCUUGAAGGGCACUGUGACUGCCUCUUGUUUACUAAAAUUGUGACAGAAAUAGUUGCCAUUUGCUAUAAACAAGUGUAUUUAAAACCACUACUGUAGUAUAUUAUGUCGUGCACAAUUAAUUUUAGAGCCCAUUUGCAGCUUGCUGGAUUCUGAUUAUAAGCUUACUUAAAUAACAUUUUAUUUCACAUUUAGGUUCAGUUUCAUUCCUUUCUAGGAACCCCUGCUGCUGCUUCAGUCCUCAGCUCUGCUGUUGUCCAUGAUUUCCUUCUUGUUACUGGCAUCACCAGUGCUACUGCCCUUGUCUGGUGUUGUGUUGCUGCCCCUGCUGAGAAUGGAGUGGGAAGAGAUGUGGCAAUGGCAGCAGCUGUGGCGGCAGUGGCAGUAGCAGUACCGGGAUGAGCCUUAGAGCAAGCAGGUUUGUGCCAUGGCCCUGCAGCUUUCUGGGCAGCUGGAGAGAGUUAGAUAAUCAGGGGUCAUUUCACAGACCACAGAAUCCUUUCACUUGGAAAAGACUUCCAAGAUUAUCACCGGUUUGAUGGUUUUGUGGCUGAAGUGCUACUAUUGAGUGAACAUUUGGGGUGGGAGUUGUUUUUGUUUUUGUGAAAAGGAACUAGCUUGUAAUGAGGACAAUAAAGUAACUUAACAGUGGCCUAAAAUUUAACAUCUGGCUAAAUCUAAAUAUUCUGUUGUUUUUUCUGCAGUCAGCAUGUUUAGCAGCGUUCAGAAACACUGACUGAAGCCAGUGAAGUUACUAAGGAGUGAAAUGAUCUAUUACAGAUGACUAGCACUGAGAUAGAGUUUAUCAUUAAAAUAAAUUCAUUGUUCAUAGAAAUAUAUAUCUGAAAAAAAAUUAUCCUAGAAAGACAGAGUGCUCUGUAAGAAGUUAGAUCACUAAAAUAUUUAAGAAGGUAUACACAUUUCCCCACAGCUUAAAAAGUGAAACAAAAAUGUUGAUUAAUAAAGGUAAAAAGCUACAGCAUCUCUUUUAAAGCUAAAAGGAUGUUAAAGAAAAUAGAGUGGCCCUUCCGGCACUCGUUGAACAUCUGUGGAUCUGGAAUUUCCUGAUAACUCUUGGUUUGUAACUUACCAAACAGGUCUUCUUUCCUUUUCAUAACCCUAUCUUUCAUGAAAAAUAGUCUAAACUUCAAUCAUUUUUUUAAUAGAAAUUAAUUUUAUUUCUGACCUCUACUCUCCUAUGAGCCUUAAACAAACAUGCCUUAUGGUUUGUGGACUGAACUAAUAACCAAAUGUUCAGCCAAGAAAAACAAUUGUUACUCAGCUUUCAUUAACGAGAUUAAGUGCAGCACAGGUCCUUCUCUGGGAAACCAGCAUUGCAGUUGUACAUCAGGAAGUAUAACAGCAAGUACUGCUACAAGUUCCAUUUACAGUGAAACCACAAUGAAAUAAAAACCACAAUGAAAACUAAAAUAGCAUGGGAAUGAUUUCAAUAGAGACAGAUCUGGGAUCUGUCAGAUCUUGUAAAGUGCUAUAUAAAAGUCAGAUGAUUCAUGGAAAACUUGAUAGGAAGCAAAAACAUUUUGCAAUAUAAAGCUCUUUUUUACCACAGCUUCAUCAAGACCUUUUUCAUAUGAUAAAGAAAUUAUCCUGAUCUACUGAUGAUGAUAUUCCAGAUGCAAAGUCAUGGAAAAACUAAAAACAAAGCAAGAAUUAUUUACCUCAGAUUUGUCUCAGUUCACAAAUGUCCACAUAUCCUAGAAUCACAGAAUGGUUUGGGUUAUAAGGGAUCUUAAAGAUCAUCUACUUCCUACCCACAGGGACACCAGACCAGGUAGCUCAGUGUAUCCAGCCUGGCCUUGAACACUUUCAGGGGUGGAGCAUCCACAACUUCUCUGGGCAACUUGCUCCUGUGCCUCACCAGCCUCAUAGUGAUGAAUUUUUUCCUAAUACUUGAACUGUAUCUACCCUCUUUCAGUUUAGAGCCACUACUUCUUAUCCUACCAGUAUUUGACCUUUUUUCAUGGUUGCCCUUGAAUUUCUUUCUAAAUUUACUUAAUUCUUUAAUAUUAAUACUUCUUUUCUGCCAUGUUAAGUUCUGUCUUCUCUUGGGGUUUUUUGUGUCUUUUGCUGUGUGAGUAAUUGUCAUGCUUUAACCCCAAUCAAUAGCCAAGCUCCACACAGCCACUCACUCAUUCCCCCACCAGCAGGACUGAGGAGAGAAUCAGAAGAGUAAAAGCUAGAGAACUCAAGUGUUGAGAUAAAAGGAGUUUAACAGGGAAAGCAAAAGUCACACACACAGGUAAGGCAAAACAAUUUAUUCAGCCCUACCCAUGGGCAGGCAGAUAUUCAGCCAUCCCUAGGAGAGCAGGGCCCCAUCACAUGUGACUUGGGAGGACAAGCACCAUCAGUCCCAACAUACCCCUGUUCCACCUUCCUUCCCCUACUUUAUAUCCUGAAUAUGAUGCCAUAUAAUCUGAAAUAUCCCUUUGGUCAGUUUGGGUCACCUGUCCUGGCUGUGUCUCCUCCCAGCCUGCCAGGCACCCCCAGCUUCCUCAGCUUCCUUCCUCCAGUUUGGAGCACAAAAAGCAGAAAAGGCCUUGGCUGUGUGUAAGCCUUGUUCAGCAAUGACAGAAACAUCUCUGUAUUAUCAACUCCAUGUUCAGCACAAAUCCAAAACACAGCCCCAUAUCAGCCUCUGGGAAGAAAAUUAACUCUACCCCAGCCAAAACCGGUACAGUAAUUCUUUCAAUUUAUGAAUGGCACAAAGCCUGAUGAAUACAAAGUUCUGCUACCCAGAUGGAGUUAGUGAAGUUAUUGAUCUUAUCCCCUGUAGAAAACAUCUGCAGGUAUCUUUCUUUACCCUGGAUUUAUAAAUAGGAUUGGGAUUAUUUUAUGUACCUGCACAGGAGACAGGAUGAAUCCCUAUUCUGUUCAGCCUGUUGCUGUGAGUGUUAGAGUGCUAGAGUGCAAGUAGUUGAGCCUAGAAGGUCUUUGAAUAAGUCAUCAGUCAUCAUAACAAAUUAGAAGUAGGUAAUUUACAUGGCACAAAUUAUAGGUGUCAAACUUCCCAAAGAUAUUGCAACUGCUGACAGGACUUCCCAUCAUUUAUUACCAGAUGGGGAGAGAAAAGGAGCUGGAAAUAAGCAAAUGUUCAACUGUGUGAAGAAUGAAAUUAAACUACAUAGUUCUCUGAGGCUGCUAGUAGGUAAAGAGAAAGAAAGAUGCAAAGCUUAAGACCAGUUAAAGCAAGUGAAGUUAAAAUUACCUGUAGCAUCUAGGCUAGCCUAACGUCCUCUUGUGCACCAUGUUACAGCAAACUAAUGUGACUUUUGAAGCCAAAAGUACAUUACAGGUAGCCUCAACAGUCCAGAUGUGGUGACAGAUGAGAUGGUGUCCAAGACCAGUUUGUUCCAGACAGCUUUUUCCUGUGUCCAGAACAGGGCUAAUAAACAGAUGACUGAAGAAAUCUGAAAGGAAAACAUGUUUGAACUAGAAGAUACUUACUAAUUCAAAGUAAGAUAGGUGAAAAGGACUUGGCAUGUUUGUGCUUUUGGGAUUGUCUUUCCUCUGAGGACUGUCAGUUUAGCCUUGAAUUAGAGCCAGUAAAUGAUGCACAUCGGUAAAGCAAGAUUCAGACACCUUGUUGUUGGAUGAUCCCUUAACUGCCAUCUGUUUGUUUCUACAACCUGGCCUCAAAAAUACUGCCUGCUACUCAGUUGCUACCCAAAACUACAUGAUUUUGAGCUGCUCAAUCUGUUGCUUGAGUGAAGAUCCAGAUACAGGUGAGACAAAUAAAUACCUAUGGAUGGGGCUAAAGUUUGCAUCACAGCUUGGCUUCCUUUAUAUGCAAGCUUGAAUGUCUGCUCUGUGAACACAUAUUUACCUACAAAUUUGCUUUUCAGGCUUUGAACAUUCAAAUUUGUAUGUCCUCUUUCCUGGAAAGUGUGUGGGGGAAACUUGAGCACGCAGCACUCUUUGGUCAGUCUUGUAUGUGAAAUCAAAUGUUGCAUGUGAAAUAAAAAACAGUGCAGUGGGCAUUGGGGAAAGGUUUUAUCUUCUUCCUGUUAUUUUGUUCUUUUGAGGAUUUCUUAAUAAAUAGUGUGACCAUCUCUGGCAUUUGAAAAUUAAGCAUUGUACAGUGCAAUGAAGCCUCUCUUUGUUGCCAAGGCAUUGUGCCUGUUCUUUAAUUUGUGUAUGUGAUUGCACAGGUAUGUGUCUAACUAAACAUAUGGAUUGCUGUGCAGGUCUACACUGAAUGAAUGCAUAAGACUAUAUUAAUUUUUUUAAGUAUGUGGUGAAAAUAAUGUACUGCUAUAUUUUUAAAUGCCUAAUUUUAAAGUUUUAUAAAAGUCUGACAUUGCAAAAAGUGCACAUGUCCACAUGUGAUGCUACAUGAUGCUGGAAGAAUUAGGAUAAAGUGGAGGAACUGGAGAAAAUUUUAGUGGUGAAAGAAUAGUGAGAUGAGAGCAGCUGGUUCCUGUUAGCUAAAAGGCUUCUUUUUGAAAAUGUUCUGGUAAAUAAGACAGAUCUUAUUUGGCUCUGAAGACCCAAAGUCAGUCAAUCACCCUCACUAAAGAAAUGUUCAGUGGGUUUUAACGUAUCUUGUGGUUACAAGAAUAGACAACUGUGCAAUCCUUGUGGCAAUGCUACUGUUAAAGAUUAGCAGCCUAGCAGAGCAAAGCACUGUGAUAUACAAAUUAAAAUAUGUUUAGUUAUUUGGCUUGCCACAAGUAGAUGGCUGUAACCCAUUUCUGCUCUCAACCUGUUUCAUUUCUGUUGAAUAAAAAGUAUUUUAACACUUAAACUAAUUGUUAAGAUAUCUAGAACUCUCUGAUUUUUAAAUCUAACAAGGUAUGUGCAUUUUUGAGUGGAGAUAGCUGAAAUCAAUCUUAACUGUCACAGCAAGAGUAACUCAGCAUCAAUGCAGAAAAAAUACAAAGCACAUCCCAGCCUGGGGUGCUCCUGCCUCAUUCGAGUUGCAGGAUGUCCCCUGUUCACUCUCCCCUCUGGCUGCCCCCAGGGACAAGGCCGCUGUGUGUUUCUCCAGUGCUCACUGUGCCUGACUGGCCACCAUCAUACUUGUGUGCAGCCCCAGGAGACCAUUGUGCUGGGAAGCAGUGACCUCACCCAAAGCUAGAGGCUAAAUCUGCAGAGCUGGCAGGAAGGCUAGGGCAGUGUUGCCCAUCUCCACGACUCUCCCCAAGUCGUGCUUUGCUGUGACAGUACAUUUCCAUAUCUAUAUGCAAUAGGAGGGAAUUUGAGAUCUCUUGCACUGAUUCAAGUCUUUGCUGGGGCUGGUUUGUACUCUUGUCAUUCAUUAACCCUGGAGUGACAUCUUGAAAUCACCCCUGUGCUGAGGUUACAGAGGAUAAAAUUGCUUUCUUGCAGUAUAAACAUAUAAUGUAGUUUGAUCUCCAUUUACUGCAUGUGAAGUAUCUGGAAUCUAUUCUAAUACUAGUUAUAGUGACUGUGUGUCUCAUGACAGAAAUGUCUGGAUUGCAGUAUCUCAUAAAUUGCUGUAGUAAACAGGGCAUGUUCUCCCAAAUGAAGAAAAGCGUUCUUAGCUGUCUGGUAGUAGUGAACCUAAAAAUUAAAUUUAUUUUACUUUUAGGCCCAAAGAACAGACCAGGUGAGAGCUACAUAAGUACCAGAGGACUUCCUGUCAUGGGUUAAACAAGAUAAUGGAUGAUUUGUGAGAAAACACUAGGAUAUGACUUUGUGCAAGAGAUAUGUCACUGUUUAAGAUGAUUGAUGUGUGAUGCUUAACUUCCUGUUCUUUCAACUUUCAGAUGGAAAUGAGCAUCCUGAUCUGCACUGCCUGUGAAGCUAUCUCAGACUUGUUUAUUUAGUAGAAGUCUGUGUGGAUGGGCUUGUUUCAGAAUUAGAUUCUGAAAAGUACAAAGGCAUUAUUACAUUGAAUAAUUUUCCACAAGGAAAGAUUUUCGCAAACAGUUGUUCCAUUUUAGGUAAGCUAGAAAUUUAACUUUCCAGGGAGGAGAAGCACUUGGUGCCUGUAAAAAAGAUUUUAUUUCAAUUUACUGCCAAAUCUUUUUACACUGCCUGAUGUCAUUUAUACUGAAUGCAUACAUACUUUGCAGGUGAGAGGAGAUUGUGUUAGUUUUUUUGGGGAGGUUAGUGGAAAGAUUUUAGCUUUUAUUAUAAUUUAGUUUUUUAACUAUGUGCUGAUUUUAAUCCCUUGGAAUGAUUUCAUUUAGAGCUUCUGGUUUUGCCUUGGAGGUGCAGGUCUGUUGCCAUCCCCGUAAGAAAAAACACUCAGAUGUUGUGAGGUAUCAUUCAGAAUGGUAUUUCUUAGCAAGACACUCCACAGACCCUAUUUACGACAGAGAGAGCAAGCAAGUCACCCCUGGCAGUCAUUCAAGCUGUUGCAGGACUUCCUAACAAGAAAUCACCUCUAGUCAUAAUUUCUACUGUCAAAAAAAGAAAGACAUUCUCCACAGAAUUUCUUGUGCCCUGUCAAAAGGCAGGCCUUUACCAACAGUGCUGAGUGGGAGCUGCCCACAGGCUCCUCCAGAACCAUGCAAAGGCUGUGGUGGAGGAAGGUGUGUGGCAUAUGGCACACUGUGGCUCAGCGCAGCCUGACCACCAGCCUGGCAUGGAGCACCUGCCCUGCAGAGCUGUGGUGGAAAUCACUGCCUCCUAAAUGUGCAGUGGUGUCCCAGCCAAAACUUGCAGUUUCCCACAAGUGCAAUAUCAAGUCAUAUAUAAUGCUUCACCACUGCUGUGGUGGGCAGGAUGGGUGCAGAAAACUUCUUAAGAUGUCAAAACUUCAUUGGAACAGUUUCUUCCAUCACAUCCUUCCAUUACUAUUAUUACCUCUUACUAGUUUUUUGUAUUUCUCCUUUUGUCAGCCUUCCUGUUUUCCUGUUUUGGGGUUGUUGGAGUUUUUUUCCAUUUUUCUAGUUCCAGUCUAAUAAUGAUUUUAUUAUACAUUAUUUUCUCAUGCUGUUUUUCUCAGUAGAACAAAAUAUAUUCUUCACCUCCCUUGUCUUUUAGUGCAGUGUCCUGUGAUUUUUUUAAUGUAGUUUCUUUGGAGGAAGUGGUGUGUCUUCCCAUUUGUUUACUUUACACUGGCCACAGUAGGGCACUUGGAUAAAGUUACGCUGAAAUCAAUAACUGUGUGCUAUUUUGCUGCCUUUUACUUCCUCAGGACAAGUUAAUAUUUAACUCCAGUAAAAAAGUCAUACUGAGGAUUUUUUUUCUUCUUUUUCCCCUCACUAUGUGUCCACUCAGUGUGCGUCCACUGCCAGGACUCCAGAAAAAGUGAACGGAUCCGUGCAGUUUUCUUUUCUAUACUUCUGUGUUCCCAAGGUUUUCAUGGGCUUCCCUAGCCACUUCACUGCUUCUCAUCUAACACUGAAUCCUCUGUCCCUUCUUACCAUCUCCCUGCUAUGUGGAAAAAAGCAAGUGCUUGUGCUAAGCAGAGUCUCAUUACUAGUUCUGCUUUUCACAGCUUAUUUUUAAGACAUUUUUGGUCUGUAAGUUAAUGUAGAUAAUUUCGAUUUCCCUAGAAGUCACUGUGUUUUGCAAGCCUCUGCUGAUGUUCCCUAUCUAACAAAAAAUGUACUGUGUAAACCUUCAAAAAAUACACUGUAGAGCCACAGUAAUUAGAUCACAGCAGAGUCGCAAAUCUGCCCAGCAGAUGGACUCCCGUAUGGCAGAAAUAAUGUGGACUGAGCAGCUCUGAAACCAGGAUUUACAUACUGAACUGCAGCACUGGAAUAAAUUCUGUGAGGAAAAAUGCCAAGGGCCUAUUGACAUAUACUUAAGUGUUAUUUGAGAGUGUUUUAUCCAAUAGCCUAAUCCUUUUUUUUGCAGAUUUUAAUUUAACACCAGGUCUGAAAAUUUACUCUACCGGUUUUUUUUUUGCCAUUAAAAAAAAAAAAAACAUAGAGGAUCUUCUGUCUGGUAACUAGAGAUGUUUAAAAGGUUGGUUUUGGUUUUUGUUUUUUUUUUUCUCCAGCUGAGGUUUAUUUUUUUAAGCCUUUUGAGGUUGAUAAACUUUCUUCUCUGAAACUAUGCAGGGUCCAGGCUCCUGUAACUUGCAUUGCUUUGUUGUGUUUUCCUGACUUCUCCUGCCUGGCAUUCUUCAGAUGUCAGUUCUUGAGACUUGCCAUCACUCUGAGCCACCCUUCCAGCUUAGCAGUGGGCCUCUGAUAUUGAUUGGUUUGUACCACAGCCUCAGAGAAAAAGGAAUGUGGUAUCAGACAAGCACAGUGAUACUUCCUCCUUAGCAGUUACAAAGUGUAAACAGCAUGCAGUAUCUGCACAAAGAUCUGCAAACAUCAGUGAAGAUGUACACAGUGGGCUGCAUUUGAAAUGUUUUCUCAAAGGGAUGUUGGCAUUAUGUGCCUGAUUCCCUAUCUGAGAUUAUGCACAAAGGUACAUAAACCUCAUGAACAGCCAGCAUAGGAAAUCACCAACUGCAUGGGGCUGGCCAAGGCAGUGGAGAGUAUGGAGAAGGGUUUGUCUUUAACCCACCUGGAAUUACAGAACUGCUGACUUCUUCAGAGAAGAGAUCAAAUUCUUGUGUAGACAGUGACAUGUAUUCUUCAUUCUUUCAAAAAUAAGUGUAUGUGCUGUUCUCACACAGGGAGGGGAAGAAAAGGAAAACCUUCUGAAUACGCUUACAGCAUGUCUUUGUGCAGACUUUAAAAUUAAUCAGUUGCUGGGCUGUGCAGUAUGGGCUGAGCCAGAUGGGAGAUGUGUAAAUGCACAUGUGAAGGAUCAAAGAUCAAAGAUAAGAUGGUGAUGGAAACAAGAUGCCUCUAACUUGAGGUGUGGUGGGGCAUGGAUGUAAUUUUGAACAUAACUAUUCAGUGUACCACACUAGGUGCUUUCAUUUCUUUUUAAGAAUUGGCCUAGCAGCAUGAAAUAUGAAUUGUAUCAUAAUCCUUUCCUACAGUUUUGGCAGUACCAAAUAUGGGAAAGAAAAUUUGAGCCAAUGUUAAAAAACCAUUUAAUGGUCACUUUUUGUUGCUGAUAUUUUAACUUCCAUUACCUUUGCCAACAAUGACACAGAGCACUCAGCAGAAACUGAAAUAAUUUUGGUAGAGUUAUUUUUCCUUUUUUUACCCAGCAGUUAAAGAGAGUAGCACUUAACAAACAUUAACCAAAUACUGCCUUCUGCCAAAAGCCAUUUAUACUACUAUAACCCCGAUGCCUUUAUAUAAAUAAUAAUACCACCGCUGAUACAUUGUGAUGUACAAACUUUAACACAAGAUUUUCCUUGGGAUUGUUAGACUAUAUAUUAGAUAGUAUAUUCCCAUCAAAGGUCUCUAUAGUGUGGUUUCUCAGUAUAAACUAUUUUAUGUAUCAGCUUCUGUCCAAAGAGAUGGCAAGCUACAUAAUCAAGCAAGUAUCUACUCUUUCUUACAGUUGUUUAUAAAAGUACCUUACAAGUCCAGACAUACAGACCUUCUGGAGCAGGAUGGAGUAUAAAUGAAAAUAAUUACACAAAACAGAAUUGCUUUCCUACAGUUCAUUAUCACAGGUACUUUGAUUAAGUAACAGCUUCAUCAUUAUAGCUACUAAACAAUAUUUAAGUAGCCAAAAGCCAAAUACCUUCUUAGAGACAUAUAUAGAAGACUGACUUGCUUGUGCAGAUUCUUCUUCUUGUCCAAAGUGAGAUUUGUACAAGCCCAGACUCAUUUUCCUUCUAACAGCACUCCAAGAAAGAGUGAGGAACUAUUUCUUAUCAUCCCAUUGUUGUAUCUCAUAAAUGGAUUCAUUUGUGACUUCAUUUGGUGGUGUGAGCAAAGCCAGAUGGUGGUUACAACAGAACCAGGAAGUGCCGUGUGUUUUCAUUGUUCAAAAAAACCCCUGCUAUUCCCAGCUUCAUCUGGGCUAUGUGAGCCUCUGAAAUGUGACUGCCAGUAAUGGGGAGAUACCAUCAUGUUACAUGUGGCAAGCACCCUAGGCCUCUCAGAGUGAAACUGUCAUUCAUGUAAGCAAUCAUUUGACCAAAUUUAAUCCCAGACAGAUAUGGCAGUAUUAUUGUGAAGGGAAUACUGAGUUAAAAAUAAGACAACACAUGAAAACCAAUAUGCUGGACUUUGUGGGGACUGAUACUUGUGGGGUGACAAAGUGGAUAUGUGCACCAUGGGAAAAUGAGUUACAGCAAACCUCUGGUAUUACUUAUUAUUUAAAACAUUUGGUUCAUAAUUAAUAGGUUAUCUGACUCUGGAAAUAUUUUUCUUCAGCUCUUACUUCUCUGCAGUGGUUUUGUAACUGUAUAACUACCGAAGGAGGAAAACGGUUAUAUGGAAUGAUGCGGAGUGCAGCAGGUCUCCAAACUCAAGCCCCUGCCCAAAACAGGCUUAGCUGUGGGGUCAGACAUGGUUGCUCAGGGCUUUGUCUCACUGGGGUUUGAAGUCCAUGAAGGACAGAGAUGGUCAGCCUCUCAAGGUAGCUUGUCCUGGUGUUUAGUUACCUGCCAUGAAAAUUCCUGAGGCCUGGUUUCUCAAGCUGAAAUCUCUCCUGUUUCUACUUGUGGCAACUAUUGUCAAAAAAUCCUAGCCCCUGGUAACCUCCCUGCAGACAGACCAGACACCUCAAAGCUACCCUCCUCCAGUCCAGCUUGCUGCUUUUCCUCACAGUGUCUGCUGAAGUCUUUACUCAUGUACAACCAGAGCAGCAUCAUCUACUGCUCUUGCCUCAUCCACAAACCCAAUCAUUUUGUCAUAGAUGAUCAUCAGAUCAGGCAUCACUUAGUCAGUCUCCAUCUUCUGCCUUGUGUGUUUGUACUUGCCUAAGGGUUCUUGCUUCAGAGAUGCUUUCCCCAGGGCCUGAAAAUGAGACAAUCAGCCUGUAGUUCCUCAGAUUGUUCCAUUUGUCCUUCCUUUAGAUGGGUAGAAUGUCUGUUUUACCUUGGCCAUUUGGGGCCUUCUCCAGUCUCUAUGAUUCAUCAGAGCUGAAGGAGAACAGCCUUUUUAGGAUACUGGCCAGCAUUCUCAGCACCCUUGAGUAGGUUGACAGCUCACUUGAAAGCCACCAUGUACCUCAUCAUCUGUCACUAAGUUACUGCCCUCACUUGAGCAGCUGGUUCAAAUAUGCUUUUUAACCUCCACUGGCUGUAAAGCAACUGGUGACUGUAGCAUCUUGGAAAGAGCUGUGUAAAGUGUUCUGAUAUUUUGAUUGUCAUUCUCUUCUGCUCUGACUGUCACUUUCUUUUCAGUGUUUUCUGCUCUUAGCAUACUUCCAAUUUUUUGAGAGACUGUUCCAGUCUGUGUCAUUCAUCUUAGGAUUGUGAAAGUAGCCCUGUGGAGGAUUUUCCCACAUUUAAAAAUUGCUAUGUGUGACUGUUUUAGUGCUAGAAAGAUGCUCAGUUGAUGGAAAUAGGUUUGUGUUCUCAUAAUUUCAUCCAAAUUAACUGAAGUACAUGAAUUACAUGGUUGCACUGCCAGUCUGGCAGAUUUAGAAUUUUCUGAAGAUUCUUCAGGCUACUAGUAAAAAUUCAACCUUCAAAGGUCAAGUCUUCUAUAUUGACUGCAGAUUUGGAUACAUUAAUAGGUAAAAGCAAUGUGACUUCAAAAAUAAAACCCCAGCAGAAUGUAGUUUGCUCAAUAAAAGGCAGACAUGCAAAAGCAAUUAUUCCUAAGAGGGUUUGAGAUGCUGAAUUUACUAAAACAUUAAGCUAAAAAUUAGCUACCAUGUUGAGAAACAGAGUCACCCCUCACAUGCUAGACCUAAUUAAUUUGAAACUAGUUUCCCUGAAACAUCACUUUGUACCUUGGCCAGCUGAAGUAAUGUUUCGAAGAUCUUAGUGUUUCUUUGACAUGUGUCCUCUCUUCACAGACCAUGGCAGGAGGAGAAAAGAAGGGGUUUCCCAGUUACACUGAGUUAAAGAGAGAGAGGGGAACAAAACACCACAACCUACGACUGCAACACCUCAGGAGCAUCAUGAACUCUAAACCCUGUUAUCGCUAGCAGAUUUCCCACCAAGCCGACACCCUACCCGGAGGGCAACAGCCUGCCCGGAGUUCCCUGCAUGCACUGCCGCGGGAAAAGGCGAACGGAGGGUCCGAAGGCAGACAGACAGAAAGCGGGGAAACAAAACAAACUAAGAAAAAAGAAGGUGUGACAGGGAAAAAGCACGUGCAGCACCUGCCCGACGAUACGGCGGCUCCUGGAGUAAUACUGCGAGGCUCCGCAGGGGACGGCGCCCGGGAAGAGCGAUGCUCCGGACCAGCCCGCGCUGCCAGCCGCUUCGGAACCGCUCCUGGUAUGCCCACAGCG